rnacentral:rRNA from 1 species
AAUAGAUACCCGGGUAGUCCACGCCGUAAACGAUGUCGACUUGGAGGUUGUUCCCUUGAGGAGUGGCUUCCGGAGCUAACGCGUUAAGUCGACCGCCUGGGGAGUACGGCCGCAAGGUUAAAACUCAAAUGAAUUGACGGGGGCCCGCACAAGCGGUGGAGCAUGUGGUUUAAUUCGAUGCAACGCGAAGAACCUUACCUACUCUUGACAUCCAGAGAACUUAGCAGAGAUGCUUUGGUGCCUUCGGGAACUCUGAGACAGGUGCUGCAUGGCUGUCGUCAGCUCGUGUUGUGAAAUGUUGGGUUAAGUCCCGCAACGAGCGCAACCCUUAUCCUUUGUUGCCAGCGGUUCGGCCGGGAACUCAAAGGAGACUGCCAGUGAUAAACUGGAGGAAGGUGGGGAGUGACGUCAAGUCAUCAUGGCCCUUACGAGUAGGGCUACACACGUGCUACAAUGGCGUAUACAAAGAGAAGCGACCUCGCGAGAGCAAGCGGACCUCAUAAAGUACGUCGUAGUCCGGAUUGGAGUCUGCAACUCGA